rnacentral:misc_RNA from 1 species
AACAAGGCGUACCUGCGGACCUGCGGAAGGAUCAUUACACAUAUAAAGUAUGCCUGGGAAAAUUCGAAAGAAAAGUACCCAGGCGUAUUCUUAUACCCAUGUCUUUUGCGUACUACUUGUUUCCUUGGUGGGCUUGCCUGCCAUUAGGACACCCCUACAAACCUUUUGUAAUUGCAGUCAGCGUCAAAAAAUAACGUAAUCGUUACAACUUUCAACAACGGAUCUCAGAUCGGAAGAGCA